CUACGGGCCGCUGCAGUGGGGAAUAUUGCACAAUGGGGGAAACCCUGAUGCAGCAACGCCGCGUGGAGGAUGACACAUUUCGGUGCGUAAACUCCUUUUAUAUAAGAAGAUAAUGACGGUAUUAUAUGAAUAAGCACCGGCUAACUCCGUGCCAGCAGCCGCGGUAAUACGGGGGGUGCAAGCGUUACUCGGAAUCACUGGGCGUAAAGAGCAUGUAGGCUGGUUUGUAAGUUGGAAGUGAAAUCCUAUGGCUUAACCAUAGAACUGCUUCCAAAACUACUUACCUAGAAUAUGGGAGAGGUAGAUGGAAUUUCUGGUGUAGGGGUAAAAUCCGUAGAGAUCAGAAGGAAUACCGAUUGCGAAGGCGAUCUACUGGAACAUUAUUGACGCUCAGAUGCGAAAGCGUGGGGAGCAAACAGGAUUAGAUACCCCAGUAGUC
rnacentral:rRNA from 1 species